rnacentral:rRNA from 1 species
AUUGAACGCUGGCGGCAGGCCUAACACAUGCAAGUCGAACGAGUGGCGGACGGGUGAGUAAUGUCUGGGAAACUGCCUGAUUGAGGGGGAUAACUACUGGAAACGGUAGCUAAUACCGCAUACCAUCGGAUUUGCCCAGAUGGGAUUCGCUAGUAGGUGGGGUAAAGGCUCACCUAGGCGACGAUCCCUAGCUGGUCUGAGCGGAUGCCCAGCCAAACUGGAACUGAGACACGGUCCAGACUCCUACGGGAGGCAGCAGUGGGGAAUAUUGCACAAUGGGCGCAAGCCUGAGGAAGCCAUGCCGCGUGUAUGAAGAAGGCCUUCGGGUUGUAAAGUACUUUCAGCGGGGAGGCGUUACCCGCAGAAGAAGCACCGGCUAACUCCGUGCCAGCAGCCGCGGUAAUAC